rnacentral:rRNA from 1 species
CCUACGGGAGGCAGCAGUGGGGCAUAUUGCACAAUGGGUGAAACCCUGAUGCCGCGACGCCGCGUGAGUGAAGAAGUAUUUCGGUAUGUAAAGCUCUAUCAGCAGGGAAGAAAAUGACGGUACCUGAUUCAGAAGCCCCGGCUAACUACGUGCCAGCAGCCGCGGUAAUACGUAGGGGGCCAGCGUUAUCCGGAUUUACUGGGGGUAAAGGGGGGGUUGAAGGCAGCACAAGUCUGGAGUGAAAUGCCGGGGCUUAACCCCGGGACGGCUUUGGAAACUGUGCAGCUAGAGUGCAGGAGAGGUAAGUGGAAUUCCUAGUGUAGCGGUGAAAUGCGUAGAUAUUAGGAGGAACACCAGUGGCGAAGGCGGCUUACUGGACUGUAACUGACGUUGAGGCUCGAAAGCGUGGGGAGCAAACAGGAUUAGAUACCCUUGUAGUC